rnacentral:hammerhead_ribozyme from 2 species
AGGCGAAACGCCGUGAGGCGUCCGGCCGGGUGGUACCCGGUCGCUGAUGAGCCAGCCUGCU